CUAAGACACAAACCAUAACACAUUGGGUUAAUGGGUUAGUGGGAAUUAGGUCCAUUAAUUGGGUUAGACCUAAGGUUAGAUUGAAGAUGGACUUAAUUAGAGAAUUGACUAAAUCUAAUCAAUUAUUGUCUUAGAUUAGGUCAAGGAUUCUCUAGAUCAAUUACAAUAGUUGUAGUUGGUCAAGUCCAUAUCUUUAAUGAGAACCAAAUGGACUUGAUUCUUGGCUAAGCGAUCUAGCACGAACUGUUAGGUUGAUCUAAUCG
rnacentral:lncRNA from 1 species